UGAGUGUGUACAUGCAUUGUGCCGGGCACAGUGUGUUUGGUUGAUUCUUGGCAGUGGUCCAGGCCUGAUGGGGUCAGUGCUAAAGGCUAGGGUGGGGGUGGAGUGCACAGGGGUACACAGACCUGCAGAGCCCUCAGAUAGUUAUCCCUGGCUGUGAAUGGUGAAGAUGUGAGUACCAUCCUCUGGUGGAAGUUCCUGCCUGUCCAACACGAGAGCCAGGAGUUUGGUACUGGUACUGGCUACUAAGAAACAGUGUCCUUAGUAACUGCUGAAUUAGGAUUAUUCCCUGUUCUUAAGCAAUACUAGCAUACUGACUAGCUGGGUCAGACUGGGCAGCUCAGGUACCACAGCUAACCAGCUGUCUCUCUCUUGUUCCCUACUUCAGUGUUGUUCAUCAGUACCUGUCUGUUCUUUACCCACAGGAUUCUUUUCUUGUUGGGAUGGAAUGAAGUGUCUUCCAGCUCUCUGCUUCUCCCUCUCUGCUUCUACCGCAGAGGGCAGAUCUUAGGAUCACAUUAGUGACAGACUCAAGGAUGGAAUUGUUGCUGUCAUGAUCCUCCACUGCUCUUCCGGUGUGUGAGUAAGGAGUGAGCAGACCUCUCCUUACCUUCUGGACAGGUGGCUUUCAACAUUCUCGUGAAAUGUAGCCUUCCGUCUGCUUUAAGGAUAAGAAUAAGGUAGAGGAGUUUCUGGAGAGACAGGUCUUUAGUUAAGAAGAAAUGAUGAACAACCAUGAAGACCAGAGUCCACCAUCCACAUAAGUCAGACAACCCCCGCAAAUUCCUGUAACUUCAGUUCCAAGGAAUAUGAUGUUCUCUGUGACCUCCACAUACACACAGGCAGGCAGGUGCAGGUAACACACACACAUGCACGCACACACAUGCUCACACACAGGCUCACAGAUUUUUAAGGCAAAGGGGAAGUAUUAAUUUUCAGGUAGCUAAUAGGUUAAAUGAGUCAGAAGUUGGGGAGGGGUAUCAAUAAAGAUACAAUGUUUUUAAAGCACCACAUGAAGCCAGGCAUGGUGGCUCCUGCCUGUUAUUACAGUAUUCACGAGGCUGAGGAAGGAUUUUCUAGUCCAGCCUAGGCUAUGUUAUAAGAUCGUUUUUCUUAAACAAAAAGGCCCCAGAUAGCCAGCAUAUUUGUAUCUUUGUGUGUGUGUGUGUGUGUGUGUGUGUGUGUGUGUGUAUGUAUGUGUGUGUAUGUAUGUGUAUGAUCACUUGUAGAGCUAAUCAGUUUGAUGUGUUCUUAAAAUUAGAGGGCAUGAAAUGUGUAGUAAAGGGAGGGAGGGAGGUCCUCUCUGUACGGGUUAUCCACAAAUACACAGAAGCUUGUUGCAUGUAUAAAAUGUUCAGUGGCUAUAAGACAGUGAGUUGACAACUUACUAGCACUUCAGUCAAUAGCUUAGUCAGCCAGUGCCACAGUUGUCAGUGGCUUGAAGAAUGUCAGCUAGAACUGCUUGCUUGUCCACAAUCUGUUAGUGCCUAGAAACCCCCUUCCAAGGAGUCACAUGUAGUCAUUUCCUGUUGCAGCAGACAAAGUAGCUUUAUUUCUUUCUGCACCUUUUGAUGGAAAGUGCCUUGAAAUAAAUGAGACACGAAUAUUCUGGUACUCUGCUCCAAUAUCAUAGAGCUGUACAAGGAACAACCCAGUUUGAAAUUUUCUAAAGCAUGGUAAUUAUUUCACACUAAAGAUGAGAAUUUGUUUUGUCACUUGACUUAUGGUUUGGGUUUGGUGUUUGAGACCUCCCACAGUAUGUAGUUGAAGACUUUGUAAAGUGACUUUGAGGCGGGCCUGUGGAACUGAGGUGGGCAGUAUGUUGUCAUUAUUGUCUUUUGUGCUAUUAGUUUUGGAGAGGAGAAUCCAGGAGAGUCCUUCCAGAAGGAUUCUUCUAUGUUCCAUGAUAAAGACACUGAUAUGAUCAAGAGAAUGACGUGGGAUUUCCUUCCAGGUUGUUGCUCUCCAGUCUCAGAAAGAACAAAAGACCAAAUUCCAAAUGUCAGGGUAACAACAUUGUCUACACACCUGCAUUUCAAGGUGCUGAGUUGUAUACAGGGCUUCAUGCAGGGGGCAGCCUGCUCACCAGGCUUUACUCACUGCUGCAUUGUUGGCAGGUCUCGUUCUGACACCAUGCAUAAUUAUUUUUGUUUCACAAAUAUUGCUUUUUUCAGACACUUAGUAAGCUGCAUUGCCAGCAAGGAUGUGGGGUCUGUAUCAGUCCUUAGCUCGCUGGAGCACUCAUGCGCACACUUCGUUAUAAUUCUUCAUUCAGUGGCAUUUAUACCUCUGCCACAUAUCAUCUGAGAAGUCCAGGUUGGGUAGCUUCUGGGUGCCUGCUAUGAAUUUGUUAGUAAAAGUUUUCAUGUUUUUCCCAG
rnacentral:lncRNA from 1 species